CACCUCUCUGCGUUUCGAACACGCGUCACAAGAGGACCCGAGGGAAGCUCGGAAAGCUAAGUAGAAGUUAUUUGGAGAGGAGAGGAUAAUGGCUGCUGAAGAAAGAAUGCCGUUGGUUGAAAAGAGGUCAGGUUUUUUAUAUGGGACGAAUCCAAAGACCAGGUCAGCGAUUCCAGAACCCAGAGUGUUCCAGUGUUCACUGGAUGGCGAGCCAACCCAAGAUCCUAGGAGACGAUAUACAUACACACGCACACUCAUUUGCACAUUGAUGGACUACAAUCUUCUACUGUACGAGUAGUACGGUAGGAUAGACAAUCACACACACUCUUACCAUUGGACGGACUCUAUUGCAAUACACCCGUUUGUCAUGGGCCCCACCGGUACCAUUUGGACUUAAAAAAGACUAAUAGUUUUACUUGUGCACAAUUUUAUUUUAUUCUAUUGUUUUGCUACUUUGGGAGAAAAUUUUAUACUGGAAGUUCUGUUAAAACCUGUUGUAACACUGUGUUGUUUACAAAUUCCUUUUAAAGGGCUUAAAAUCACUAAAGCACUUUUAAGCCACACAACUGUGUUUGUCUGGUUUCUCUGCCAUUCAUAUACCAGAGCUCUAAGAGUCGUUCUUUAUCUUCUGAUACUAGCCCAAAUUACUCAUUACCUUGGUAGUUAUCCAUUGGUACUGUAUAUAAAUCCGGGUAAGUGCUACAUUUAGCGCAAAUCUUGUGUAGUUAGUGUGUAGUGUAGUCAAUAGUUUUGUUGUGUGUGUCAGAACAAUGAGGCGACUGCUGAAU
ensembl:lncRNA